CUCUAACGGAUUGAAUUGCAAUUUUUUUUACUGACUGACUAUUGCACAUGAGAUAAUUUCAUUAUAGAUUUGUAAUGUUUUGACAUGUAUGUUAUCAACAAAACAUGUUUUCUUUUUCCAGGUUGUGUAUUUUGGAAUCAGAAUUAUCAGACACAUUGCUUGUAGGGCGUUGACGACAGGAACUUGAAAUUUACUGUGGAGUGCUACCUUAAGAUUUUGGUCUGAGUUUGUAUGGUAGAGUUAUACUGUCAUCAUCAUCAUCACUUUUGCUAUUUUUUGUUAUGUGAGUGACAUCAAUUGCUUCUGCUUGGCUAAGUCUCACUACUUGUUCAACAGUUUCAGUAGGUUGUGUAUUUUGGAAUCAGAAUUAUCAGACACAUUGCUUGUAGGGCGUUGACGACAGGAACUUGAAAUUUACUGUGGAGUGCUACCAUAACU